rnacentral:rRNA from 1 species
UGAACGCUAGCGACAGGCCUAACACAUGCAAGUCAGGGGCAGCACAAGGAGCAAUCUGAGGUGGCGACCGGCGCACGGGUGAGUAACACGUAUGCAACCUGCCUGUAAGCGGGGAAUAACCCGUUGAAAGACGGACUAAUACCGCAUAAUACUAAAUUACUGCAUGGUAAUUUAUUUAAACAUUUAUGGCUUACAGAUGGGCAUGCGCAUGAUUAGCUAGUUGGAGAGGUAACGGCUCCCCAAGGCAACGAUCAUUAGGGGUUCUGAGAGGAAGGUCCCCCACACUGGUACUGAGACACGGACCAGACUCCUACGGGAGGCAGCAGUGAGGAAUAUUGGUCAAUGGACGAGAGUCUGAACCAGCCAAGUCGCGUGCAGGAAGAAUGUCCUAUUGGAUUGUAAACUGCUUUUGCAGGGGAAUAAAGUGCAUCACGUGUGAUGUUUUGUAUGUACUCUGCGAAUAAGGAUCGGCUAACUCCGUGCCAGCAGCAGC